AAAAGUAAAAGAAACUCAUUUCAAGAUAAUUAAUAAUAUAUAUCCUGUGUCUGAAUUUUUAAAGAGGAGGUUUAAAUUUGAGGUUAACCAGUGUGCAUUUUGUGAUUCAGCCUGUGAAACAUUACACCAUUUGUUUUUCUCAUGUCCUGUGUCAGCUGCCUUUUGGUUAGAACUACACAGCUGGUUAUCCCUCAAGAUCAAUGAUAUUCCCCAGUUUAGUAUUUCUGAUAUUAUUUUCUAUAUGGCUAAACAACAUCCAUCUGUCUGUACUGUGAUUAACAUUGUCAUCCUGUUAGGUAAAUACCAUAUACAUUGUUGUAAAUGGAGGAAUAGAAAACCAUCCUUUACUUGGUUCAUCAAUGACUUUAAACAUUAUUUCAUGUCACUUAAAAAACUGAAGUCAAGCAGAUUUGCCGCAAUCUAUGAUGACAUUUCCCAUUUCCUACUGUUUUGAUUAUUACCUAUAUUGUGCUCCUUUUUUUUUUUUUUUUUUAAUUUCUUCCCCGUUAAUACUGUGGAUCUUUUGUCUAGCCCUCUCCCCCCAUAUCCUUGCUGUUAGUUUUGUUGUAUUGACCGUGUUCUUCUUUUUUUUUUUUUUUUUUAUCCUCCAUGAGAGUUCAUUUGCACUAUAAUGUGUUAUUUUGUUUGUGACUGUAUUGUUCCAAUUGUUAAUAAAAGUUUUUUUAAAAAAAGUGUUACACAGUCUCUCCACCUGGUGGCGGUAUCCUCGUACACCAUUAACCGAACAGAAGAAGAAGAAAACCCCUGCACAUGCGCAGUAAGGAUCGGGAGUCCCGAUCUAUCACUAUCUUUUUAUCUUUUUUUUUUGUCUACAUUAUAUUAAAUGUUUCAUUAUCGGAAACAUUUUAAGAGAUACUUGUUAUUCUUAACAUCUUAACAGAUACUAUCGUAAAAUGCUUCGACCGGAAGUAGACACCUUUCGCGCAUGCGGGGUACCGAUCGGGUUUCCGGUACGGAUCGGUUAGUGACAGUCUCUCUCUUUUUUUUUUUUUCUCCAUACUUUAAUUAAAUUUAUGCACAUAUUACAAUCUCUCGUUGGGAGACAACAUUAGUGCAACAACAUCUUGAAAAGGUUGAAUAAGAAACCAAACGAAAAACAAAACAAAAACACAUAUAUACAUAAACAUAAAUAUAUGAAGGCCAUUUUUAUGACAUAUAACAGUUUCUUUUCUGUGAACACUUUAACAUAUAUGUGGCUUACUUAGUACACCAAAAACACAAUCAUUAAAAGGAUAGAGAUUGAGUCCCAUUGUCGCAUAUCAAAGCAGCCUCUUUACAUGAAUCCCUCAGUAAUUCUAAAGAUGACAAAAAAGAUUUUAAUUCAAUUUUCAAUACAGUUAGGGAAGGUCUUUUACUUUGCCAUUUGCAUUUGUGUAUGUGGUAUUUGCCCAUAAUUAUCACCAC
ensembl:lncRNA